rnacentral:rRNA from 1 species
CCUACGGGUGGCAGCAGUGGGGAAUAUUGCACAAUGGGGGAAACCCUGAUGCAGCGACGCCGCGUGAGUGAAGAAGUAAUUCGUUAUGUAAAGCUCUAUCAGCAGGGAAGAAAAUGACGGUACCUGUGUAAGAAGCCCCGGCUAACUACGUGCAAGCAGCCGCGGGAAUACGUAGGGGGCAAGCGUUAUCCGGAUUUACUGGGGGUAAAGGGAGCGUAGACGGCAGCACAAGUCUGGAGUGAAAUCCCGGGGCUUAACCCCGGAACUGCUUUGGAAACUGUGCGGCUGGAGUGCAGGAGGGGUAAGCGGAAUGCCUGGUGUAGCGGUGAAAUGCGUAGAUAUUAGGAGGAACACCGAUGGCGAAGGCAGCUUACUGGACUGUAACUGACGUUGAGGCUCGAAAGCGUGGGGAGCAAACAGGAUUAGAUACCCUUGUAGUC